GUGUGGCUGGUGGGUUACAUCACAGAGUGGAGCAGGGUGUGUGGCUGGUAGGUUACAUCACAGAGUGGAGCGGGGUGUGUGGCUGGUAGGUUACAUCACAGAGUGGAGCGGGUUGUGCGGCUGGUAGGUUACAUCACAGAGCGGAGUGUGUAGCUGGUUGGUUACAUCACAGAGUGGAGCGGGGUGUGUGGCUGGUUAGUUACAUCACAGAGUGGAGCAGGGUGUGUGGCUGGUAAGUUACAUCACAGAGUGGAGUGUGUGGCUGGUCGGUCUACAUCACAGAGUGGAAAGGGGCGUGUGCCUGGUAAGUUACAUCACAGAGUGGAGUGUGUGGCUGGUAGGUCUACAUCACAGAGUGGAGCAGGGUGUGUGGCUGGUAGGUUACAUCACAGAGUGGAGCGGGGUGUGUGGCUGGUAGGUUACAUCACAGAGUGGAGCGGGGUGUGUGGCUGGUAGGUUACAUCACAGAGUGGAGCGGGGUGUGUGGCUGUUAGGUUACAUCACAGAGUGGAGCGGGGUGUGUGGCUGGUAGGUUACAUCACAGAGUGGAGCAGGGUGUGUGGCUGGUAGGUUACAUCACAGAGUGGAGCGGGGUGUGUGGCUGGUAGGUUACAUCACAGAGUGGAGCGGGGUGUGUGGCUGGUAGGUUACAUCACAGAGUGGAGCAGGGUGUGUGGCUGGUAGGUUACAUCCCAGAGUGGAGCGGGGUGUGUGGCUGGUAGGUUACAUCACAGAGUGGAGCGGGGUGUGUGGCUGGUAGGUUACAUCACAGAGUGGAGCAGGGUGUGUGGCUGGUAGGUUACAUCACAGAGUGGAGCGGGGUGUGUGGCUGGUAGGUUACAUCACAGAGUGGAGCGGGGUGUGUGGCUGGUAGGUUACAUCACAGAGUGGAGCGGGGUGUGUGGCUGGUAGGUUACAUCACAGAGUGGAGCAGGGUGUGUGGCUGGUAGGUUACAUCACAGAGUGGAGCGGGGUGUGUGGCUGGUAGGUUACAUCACAGAGUGGAGUGGGGUGUGUGGCUGGUAGGUUACAUCACAGAGUGGAGCAGGGUGUGUGGCUGGUAGGUUACAUCACAGAGUGGAGCAGGGUGUGUGGCUGGUAGGUUACAUCACAGAGUGGAGCGGGGUGUGUGGCUGGUAGGUUACAUCACAGAGUGGAGCGGGGUGUGUGGCUGGUAGGUUACAUCACAGAGUGGAGCGGGGUGUGUGGCUGGUAGGUUACAUCACAGAGUGGAGCAGGGUGUGUGGCUGGUAGGUUACAUCACAGAGUGGAGCAGGGUGUGUGGCUGGUAGGUUACAUCACAGAGUGGAGCAGGGUGUGUGGCUGGUAGGUUACAUCACAGAGUGGAGUGGGGUGUGUGGCUGGUAGGUUACAUCACAGAGUGGAGCAGGGUGUGUGGCUGGUAGGUUACAUCACAGAGUGGAGCGGGGUGUGUGGCUGGUAGGUUACAUCACAGAGUGGAGCGGGGUGUGUGGCUGUUAGGUUACAUCACAGAGUGGAGCGGGGUGUGUGGCUGGUAGGUUACAUCACAGAGUGGAGCGGGUUGUGUGGCUGGUAGGUCUACAUCACAGAGUGGAGCGGGGUGUGUGGCUGGUAGGUUACAUCACAGAGUGGAGCAGGGUGUGUGGCUGGUAGGUUACAUCACAGAGUGGAGCAGGGUGUGUGGCUGGUAGGUUACAUCACAGAGUGGAGCAGGGUGUGUGGCUGGUAGGUUACAUCACAGAGUGGAGCAGGGUGUGUGGCUGGUAGGUUACAUCACAGAGUGGAGCAGGGUGUGUGGCUGGUAGGUUACAUCACAGAGUGGAGCAGGGUGUGUGGCUGGUAGGUUACAUCACAGAGUGGAGCGGGGUGUGUGGCUGGUAGGUUACAUCACAGAGUGGAGCAGGGUGUGUGGCUGGUAGGUUACAUCACAGAGUGGAGCGGGGUGUGUGGCUGGUAGGUUACAUCACAGAGUGGAGCGGGGUGUGUGGCUGGUAGGUUACAUCACAGAGUGGAGCGGGGUGUGUGGCUGGUAGGUUACAUCACAGAGUGGAGCGGGGUGUGUGGCUGGUAGGUUACAUCACAGAGUGGAGUGGGGUGUGUGGCUGGUAGGUUACAUCACAGAGUGGAGCAGGGUGUGUGGCUGGUAGGUUACAUCACAGAGUGGAGUGGGGUGUGUGGCUGGUAGGUUACAUCACAGAGUGGAGCGGGGUGUGUGGCUGGUAGGUCUACAUCACAGAGUGGAGCAGGGUGUGUGGCUGGUAGGUUACAUCACAGAGUGGAGCAGGGUGUGUGGCUGGUAGGUUACAUCACAGAGUGGAGCGGGUUGUGUGGCUGGUAGGUUACAUCACAGAGUGGAGCGGGGUGUGUGGCUGGUAGGUUACAUCACAGAG